ensembl:processed_transcript
GUUUAAAUGCGCGAGGUUAAGUGGAUUGUGUCUUUACACCUUAGCCAGUUUCCUCACAAUUUUUCAGACGAGCAGAUCACGGUGUUUACCAGCCAAAAUGAUGCUCUGUGUCGCUCUCAUCAUUGCAGUGCUGACCUGUAUGGCCAAAGCAAACGAAGAGCUAAUCAGCCCCUAUGAUAUGACAAUGAGUCACUUGGAAAAGAGCAGCACGGAUCCGCCGCAGACGCCAGCGUCUUCGGCCUGCUGUGGACUGGAGGAUCUGAAGCAUUCGCUGGCACAGCUGAUCCAGGAGCAGCAGGACACCAGGAGCUGGUUUGGAGAGAUGUUGAAGAUCCUGAAUCAGCUGCUGCAGGAGAAUAAGGAGGUUUUGGGAGUCCAAGCGGAGGUGCUGAAGGUUCUGCGGGCCUCCAGUGUGCAGGGCGAACAGCAGCUCCAGCAUCUGCAGAGCAUGGCCCGUCUGCAGAGCCUCCUGGUGGAGAAUCAUCAGGCGCUGCUUCUGCAAGUGUCCCGCAUCGCCGGCGCAGUGCAGGACGCCGCCAAGAGACAGCGCAAAUAAAUGCACCACAUCCCUUGUGU